rnacentral:rRNA from 1 species
GUAACAAGGUUUCCGUAGGUGAACCUGCGGAAGGAUCAUUACUGAGUCUUGAAAUGGGUUGUAGCUGGCCUUUCAAGGGCAUGUGCUCGCUCUUUCAAAUCCACUCUACACCUGUGCACACACUGUGGGUUUCAGUUCUGUCGGGUUUUGUUAUCGACUUGACCUUACAAAGCUGUGCUCACGUUUUUACUACAAACUCUUUAAAGUAUCAGAAUGUGUAUUGCGAUGUUAAUAAUGCAUCUUAUACAACUUUCAGCAACGGAUCUCUUGGCUCUCGCAUCGAUGAAGAACGCAGCGAAAUGCGAUAAGUAAUGUGAAUUGCAGAAUUCAGUGAAUCAUCGAAUCUUUGAACGCACCUUGCGCUCCUUGGUAUUCCGAGGAGCACGCCUGUUUGAGUGUCGUGAAAUUCUCAACCUGCAAACCUUUUUUUGAGGUUCUUGUUAGGCUUGGACUUUGGAGGGCUAUUGCUGGCAUGUUUGGUCAGCUCCUCUUAAAUGCAUUAGCUUGGUUCCUUGUGGAUUGGCUUUCCGGUGUGAUAAUUGUCUACGCCGUGGCCGUGAAGCAUAUGGCGAGCUUCUAAUUGUCUUUCUUCCAAAGACAACUUGUAUAUUGACAAUCUUGACCUCAAAUCAGGUGGGACUACCCGCUGAACUUAAGCAUAUC